rnacentral:tmRNA from 1 species
CCGGGUAGUCUGCGAUUAAAUUUAAUAGGUAAUCUAAACAUGUAGAUUCUGUAGCGGAGGACUUGCGGACGCGGGUUCGAUUCCCGCCGCCUCCACCA